rnacentral:lncRNA from 1 species
CCGCCCUCCCUAAAUAUUUUUUUUGUUUUUUAUGUUAUUGUUUCUCUGCACCAGCCUCUUAUCUUUUCUCGCAGACACUCGAGCCCGUGAAAGCAGUGGGCGUGCAGGCAGCUGCGGCAGCCCGGAGAUCUCCCUUUUCUCCCGGUCUCCUCUGAACAUCGCCGUUAACGCGCUGGCAGUGCUGGCGAUCCGGCCCCAGCUGCUGCUGCUACUGCUGGUCAUGUGAGUGGCUCAGCAAUGUGUGACACUACAAAAACUGAUGGACUCCCAAGGCA